GGACUACUGGGGUUUCUAAUCCUGUUUGCUCCCCUAGCUUUCGUGCCUCAGUGUCAGGAGUUGUCCAGAGACUCGCCUUCGCCACUGGUGUUCCUCUCGAUAUCUACGCAUUUCACUGCUACACCGAGAAUUCCAGUCUCCCUUCCAACCCUCCAGCAGAAUAGUAUUCAAUGCCAUUUCCGGGUUAAGCCCGGAGAUUUCACAUCAAACUUACCCCGCCACCUACGCACCCUUUACGCCCAGUGAAUCCGAACAACGCUUGGGACCUCUGUAUUACCGCGGCUGCUGGCAC
rnacentral:rRNA from 2 species